AGGUGCGAUCAUACCAGCACUAAUGCACUGGAUCCCAUCAAAAUUCCGCAGUUAAGCGUGCUUGGGCGAGAGUAGUACUAGGAUGGGUGACCUCCUGGGAAGUCCUCGUGUUGCACCUC
rnacentral:rRNA from 1 species